GUUUCCAGGGGAAACCUAAUGACGCAAUGACGUCAAUGCAGGUCAGCGGCAGACUGGAUGGAGGAGCCGCGCCGCCGCCUGCCUGCCUCCCCUCCGCUUCUGGGGGGCUCCAUCUUCUACGAGGGGCGCCCAGGAAAGGCGGCCGGUGCGAGCUGCAAGACUUUGCAUAGGCGGGGGGGGGGGAGAGACGUUGGAGCCUCCCCUCCGCCCGACCCCGCCAAGUGGAAGGAGCUUGCCAUGGGGCGCUUUCUUGAUGCAGAGGGGGUGGUGAUGGAGGAGGAGGAGAGACGUGACUCCGGAGGGCCGUGGCGCCGGCUGGACCCGCGGAAGGACCCCCUCCCCGCGACCCCCAGGGCAGUCGUCCUUCUGCUGUCGCUUCCUGCCUCCACCCUCACCUUCUCUCUCUCUCUCUCUCUUGAAUCUUUUUGCGGUCUGGGCUUGCUGUUCCUCCAGUCAGUAGUCAGGAAGCCCUUACCCCAAAAAGUAUUUGCGAGGGAUCAAGUCGUCUCCGCAGGAAACAAGGAGGACUGUGGAUGCAAAGGUACGCAAAACUUGAGGCCAUGUGGAUGUUUGCAGGCAUGAGAGAGCAUUGGGAUGGGGGGGUUGUCCCUUUGUGGAUCAGCAGCCCACCCCUCCCUUGGGGGAACACGGAGCAGCAUGGAAUCGUGGAACUGUGGAGCUGGAAGGGUCCUCUAGUCCAACCCCCUGCAGAACCUCCAUGGCUGAAGGCCAUCCAACCUCUGCUUAAGAACCUCCAAGGAAGGAGAGUCCAUCGGAGACGACUCCUGGGCACAGGAGGAUUCUGGUGCUUGGGCCAUCUGAAUCGCUUGCCAGGAUCACAAACAGUGGCGCCGAAACCUUUAUGAGCAACAGCGUGCCAGACUGUCACUUGCGCUCACGACAAAACAAGGGAGAGAGGAAACCCGUUUGCCAGAAGAUGGUGCCACUGGAGCAGGAUGAGCUGAAACAGCUGCUGGUGCUGAGACGACAUUUGACAUUUGGAGGGCAGAAAGGGUUCAGGGGAGGGCGGGAGGCUCAGGGCAGAAAGAGGGGAGGGGGUGGUCCCAGGCUGAAUCGUGACUUCUCCAGUUUAAAAAGGAACCACAGGGAGUGGGGCUGUGGAAGACGGAGAGUCAUGGACCUUGGAGAAGCAUCACUGCCAAUCAGAGCAGAUGAUAAGGGCUGGAGGGACCAUAAGAGACAUGCGCAUUGCCUUGCCCCCGUGACUGAGAGAGUCCAGGGGUUCCCGACUAAAGAACUGUGGCGAGAGAAACUGACGGACUAUGCAGAAUUGGUGAAACUGACACAUAAACUGAGUGACAAGGGCAACUGUGACUUUAAAGAAGAAUGGGAACCUUUCACAAAGUACUUAAAGAAACAACAAAACGAACUGGACUCCUUGGCAGGUUUUGAAUAAACAUACACAAAUUUAUUACUAACAACCUAUAGAUAGAUAAAUUAAGGUUCUUUACAAUUUUAGAAUAUGCAGAGAAUUACAUGUUCAGUGGUGCCCCGCAAGACGAAUGCCUCGCAAGACGGAAAACCUGCUAGACGAAA